GUGAGAAUUUUAGGGAAAAAUUAAGGAAAAUUUUGGAGAAAUUAAGGAAAAUUCUACCGUUUGAGUUUGGGCUUGACAUAAGCAAUCUCGGUAUGCUACAAAGAUUAAUAAAAUAUUUAAGGCAAGUUCUCUUCCUAGUUUUUGCAAGUUCUUAUUCCUAUCUUGCAAGUUCAGUUUCUUCCUCUUCUCAAGUUCAUGUUUUUAAUUUUUAAGUUCUUAUUCCUAUUAAGGUAAGUUAUUCUUCCUCUUUGUUCCAUUUAAGAGGCAAGAUCUCAGUUUUCUUAUUAAUAUGCGAGCUCUUGGUUCCUGAUCUUUUAAAUUGCAAGUUUUUUUCCUAUUUUACAAGUUCAAUUCCUCUUUUCACAAGUUAUGUUUUAAAUUACAAGAUUUAUUUUAUAACUCUUGUCAUUGCAAGAUCAUAUCACUUAAUUUUUUAAAUUCCAUGUUAUUUUCCUAUUUUACAAGUUAUUUCCCCUUUGCCAGUAAAUUAUUCCAUGAUUUACAUUUAUACCUAUUGAAUCUCAAAUAGGGUUUGUAUCACCCUAUCUUUCGUUGGGAAUGAUUCUUUAUUGUGGACAUGCAAGAGUUGAUGUUGUCUUGCAUGAAUGUUGCCCCAUUGUGCAUAUUGUUUCGUUAAUUGCAUGCCAAUUAUAUACAUGAGAAGUUAUUACAAAUAUGCAUGUUACGAUAACGCAUAAAGCAUAUACAUGAAAAUGGUUUUUAAAAAUAUGUAAAGGCCUCAAGAUGCGCGCAGCAGACGAGUCCGUAUGAUAUAUCUGCAGAGAAAGUGCUGAGCUCAAAGUUGGACUUCGAUCCCAAGGUAAGGAUAAGACUAAAGUAGAGGGCGAGCCAAGUGAAUCAGGAUCCAUGGGGUAGCAGUGUGUACAGAGCCGUCUUAAUCAAAGGUCUCUAGGGGAGUUUUGUGCUGUGUAAUAUUAAAUUACGUUUGGUUUAUGUUUUAGAUUGUACCCCUAAGGGGACAUGGUGGGUUUAUGGACCCUAAUGUGGUAUGUAAUAUUAAGUUACGUUGGUAUUUGGGCAUGUGAACCCUAUUAAGUAUGCUUAUGAGUAAAAAUGUACGGGUGUGGUUUCCGUGUUCAAUAAAAGAAGAA